AUGUUACGCCAUUCAGUGGAUGGCUGGGCUCAAAAGAUUUAGGCACCGCGGCAAGCGGCGAAACGCUUCGGGUAGGCGCAGGCAGCCUGUGAUCCGAAGGUAGUGCGACGCGCAGUAGUGCGCAAAAGCCCCGUGAAUUAAAAGAUUCUAGUAGCGGGAGAGAAAAGAGACCAAUAGGCAUUUGGUGAGUAAGGCGACUGAAAACCAAGGAGAGCGUCCUGAACAACCGCGCAGCAAUGCGCGGCGGAUGUGGGGCGGAUAUCCGUACAAGGAGCCGAAGCUGCUGGAAAGCAGCGCCAAAGGGAGUUACAGCCUCGUAGGCAAAAUUGUGCGGACUGAAGCAAAAAGAGUAGUGCUCCUCGAGUAUGGGGCAUGAAAGCGGCAGUAUCAAUUGCCAACUCUAAAUACGAUAUUGAGACCGAUAGCGAAUUAGUAGCGCGAGCGAACGCUGAAAAGGACCCCGGAAGGGGAGUUCAAAGAGCCUCAAACUGAAUGGUGACAAUUUGAUACGGUGUGAAAGGAAUGACUACUCCCCAACGCUGCAUUCGCGAGAAUGCGGUGGAAGGAGGAAUACCGGCAUCGUAUCGUUCUUCUCGAAGCAAGAGCCAAGGAGUUGAAGUUGUGUGGCGAGGCGAAAGCCGAAGCGAAAGCGAUUGUGCGCACCGCAAGGGAGGCACUUCGUGUGAAAAUGCGAGCAGUCACACUCCUCAGACCUGAAGCCAAUGUGAUCUAUGCGUGGGCAGGGUGAAGCCGGCCUGACGGCUGGUGGAAGCCCGCAACCGAUGCUAGUAUAUUCUGUUCGGGUGACCUACGCAUAGGGGUGAUAGUCCAAUCGAACUUGGCAAUAGCGGGUUCCCCUCGAAAUGUCCCUCAGGACAGCGUCGAUGGAGAUGGAGCAUAGGGUAGAGCACUGAUUACUGGGAGCGGUUCCGAAAGGGAUCACCUGGUUGUCAAACUCCGAAUCUAUGUUCAUCGCAGAAGUCGGCAGUCGGAUUCCACUGGGUAAGCUAGUGGGUCAUUACGGGAAAGGCCGGAACAGUGGUUAAGGUCCCUAAAUCAAAGCUAAGUGCGAAUCUACAAGGCAUCUCUGGUCUAAAACAGCUGGAAGGUAGGCUUAGAAGCAGCCAUCCUUUAAACAACGCGUAAUAGCGGACCAGUCUAGAUCACGGAUUCCGAAGAUGAUCGGGGCUAAGCUUUGUACCGAAACCACCGAGAUCCUUCGUAAAGAAGGGUUUGGUAGGGGGGCGAACUGGUUGGCUAGAAGCAGGGCGGUGACGUCCUGUGGACCGGCCAGUUAUGAAUAUCUUGGUAUUAGUAACAGCAUAUCCAGGCAAGAAUCCUGGACGCCGCAUAGCACACGGGUUUCUUGGCAAUGUUCUUCAGCCAAGAGUAAGGCGAUCCUAAGGCCGAUGGUAAUUCCAACCGGCCAAAAGGGAAAGCGGUUAAAAUUCCGCUCCUGUGCGAAUAGACGUGGCAACACAAGGUUUGUUUUUGACGCUUUGGGAUAGGCUGACGUGGGGAGACCCUCGUUAACCGUCGCAAUGCUGUGGAGACUCAUUGUGAGGAGAAGCAGCAUAAUAGCGGGAAGGCUGAAAGGUUCAGCCAAUUCCCGGAGCCCAUGAAAAGAAAACAAAUCCGAUUUCGCACAAUCGUACCUAGAACUAUUACAGGUGCUGCUGGCAUAACAAGCCAAGGCGUGACAGGGUAACUCAGCUAAGGGAACUCGGCAAAAUAGUAGCGUAACUUCGGAAGAAGCUAUGCCUGCGGUUUAAAAGAACUGCAGGUCGCAGUGACUAGGGGAGGUCGACUGUUUAUCAAAAACACAGCUCGCAGCUAAUCGGAAACGAUUUGUAUUGCGGGCGAUGCCUGCUCACUACUGGUACGUGAACGCCCAUUUCAAUGGGAAUAAGCGCCAGCAAAGAGCGGGGGUAACUCUGACCCUCUUAAGGUAGCGUAAUACCUCGCCGCUUAAUUGGUGGCUUGCAUGAAUGGCAUAACGAGCUUCCCACUGUCCCUAGCUGGGACCUGGUGAACCUACUACUCUGUGAGUAUGCAGAGGACUUCUAGGGGGAAACGAAGACCCCGUGGAGCUUUACUAUAGCCUGAUGUUGUAAUACGAGGACUGCUGCGGAGCGUAAAUGGGAGCCGUCAUGUUGCACCUCUCGGGGUGCAAAUAGGCGAAAUUGUAACACCAUUCAGCAGUUUUUGUAUUGCUUACCUUAAUUGGGACAGCGUCAGGUGGAUAGUUUGGCUGGGGCGGUACGCCCUCGAUAAGGAAACAAGGGUGCCCAAUGUUCAGCUUAGGCGCGUCAGAAAUGCGCCGGUAAGGGUUAAAGACAAAUGCUGGACUGACUGUAUUCCUAAAAGCGUGGAAUGCAGAGACGAAAGUCGGGCUUAACGAACCUUGGUACCUUUUUGAUGAGGGUCCAAGCUGUCAGACAAGCUACCCCGGGGGUAACAGGCUCGUCGCGGGCGAGAGUACCCAU
rnacentral:rRNA from 1 species